rnacentral:rRNA from 1 species
AGAGUUUGAUUAUGGCUCAGGAUGAACGCUAGCGAAAUGCCUAACACAUGCAAGUCGAACGAACCUUGCGUCGUAGUAAUACGUAGUAAGGUUAGUGGCAAACGAGCGAGUAACGCGUGCUUAACCUGCCCCGAAGUUGGGUAUAACUACAGAGAUGUAGCUAAUUCCCAAUAUGCUCACGAUGGUGAAAUCCCAAUGGGAGGAAAGAUUUAUCGCUUCGGGAGGGGGGUGCGUCCUAUCAGAUAGUUGGUGAGGUAACGGCUUACCAAGUCUAUGACGGGUAACCGGUCUGAGAUGAUGUCCGGUCGCGAUGGGACUGAGAUACGGCCCAUACUCCUACGGGAGGCAGCAGUGGGGAAUCUUGCACAAUGGACGAAAGUCUGAUGCAGCAAUUUCGCGUGAAGGAUGAAGCAUUACGGUGUGUAAACUUCUUUUUUGGCAGAAGACGAAUGACGGUAUGUCAAGAAUAAGAGACGGCUAACUACGUGCCAGCCGCAGC